CCGCUUAGCUGCUGAGCAGACUUAGAUGGUUUGGUGUGAUCUGCUCUGAGCCCUGCUUCUGGGUGCUGCGAGGUGUUCUGAGGCAAGCUCCGAAGUUGCUCCGACAUGGUGAGCACAGACAGGGUCACUGCCAACAACCGGGAGUAACAGGGGGCUGAGCAGCGGGAGCUGGUGUGGUGUGUCUUUCCCGGGGCUGGGUGGGAACCUGCGGCCAUCAGUGAGGUCCCGUGAGGUCCUAGCCAUUCACUGGACCUAAGGGUAGCCUCUGAAUAACUUCACUAUGGCAGCUGUAUCUGCUCAGAGCAUUUGGAACAGUGGGUUGUGUGUAGAAACAUCCUUAGCAGGGUGAGAAACUCGGAGAGCCCUAGUUUCUACAAGUUCUACCCUCAGCAUUUAAUAUUAAGGUGUAUGAUCCAUUUAGAAUUAAUUUUGUGGCGAAUGUAAAAGGCAUCUCAUGUGUUCGGUAGCAAUGCAAUAUUAAGCUGUGUUGUAAAGGAGUAUUAGCGAUGUGAAGGAUUUACUAAUGGUUAGUGUCGGAGGCCAGCUCCGGCAAUCUAAGGUACCCGAUGGGGAAGAGCACCAGCAGGGGCAAGACUUGGACUUGGGAGAUAUUUAGGGUUAAUUUUUAAUCCACGUUUACCUGUCUUAAGUCUAAGUUAAUUUGCAGUAGUAGCUGACCUGCCUGAGUUCCCCUGAGGCCAGAAACUGCAGUCUCUGACGUUUAGCACCUCAUAGUAAAACAGGGAGAUUAAGUAAAGUAGCCUUUGUCCUUAUCUCCACCUGCUAGCUAAAGACACAGGAAGAAAAAGAGACACUUUGAAAAGUGAUUUUAAUCUUUAUUUCUAAAUUCUUUUUCUCAAAAAAAAUUC
rnacentral:lncRNA from 1 species